GGAAGAGCCGCGGCCGGGUGCCGUGCUCCCGCGCGGGGCGGGGCCGGUGCGGCCACGCGGUGCGAGGCGGAAGUCGGCGGCCGAGGGUCCGUGGGACGCGUGAGGAGUCGACUUGUGCUUGUCCAGAAAAAAAUGAGAGCUCCCACAUUCUGCUGUCAUUUCUACUCCAGUCCUGUGCUUCACCUCAGUAGGCUGUGAGGAUUUAAGGAAGUCAAAAGAAACCUCAGCAAUGCAAAGAAAUGGAUGAGAGGCAGGAUCGAUAGUUCUUUGGUGUUACCAGACCCUGAACUUCAGCUAAACUGAUCUACUCAGCUCCACCACUGGGCAGCCCUCAACGUUUUCCUGCCGACAUGAGAAGCAUUGCUGCAAAGUCUGAGAGGGAAAAGCCAUCCAAAAUCCAGUGUCUGUGACUUGGGAGAGGCAGUCUGUUACAAAAGCCUUUGUUCUCCGCCUGAUAAACUGAAUGGGAGGAAAAAAUGCAGAUGACUUCCUCUCCCUGACUGCUGUGGAAAUGGUGAAUUUGCUCGGUAUUCAUCACAUGCAACUGUCACCGGGCUACAGAUCAUCUGCACUCCGUGCUCUGAGGAGACAAUCUGCUGAGACAGGGAUGCAGAGCAACAAGCUGCACGCCAAAGGGCACGGAAGAGGGGAGCAGAGUGCCGGAUGAAGGCGGGCGGGCAUCCAGCGUUGGAGUAUUGGCAGGACCGCAGGCGCUUCAGGCAGGCUGGGGGCAUGGAUGCGCCUGCUGGCAAGCGGUCCGAGGCGAGUCAAGACUUGGCUGGGCCAGCGUUUAAGAGCAGAGAAUCGUGUGGCAGCCCAGUGAAGCGUUUACCGUUUGGCAGAUGAAGAGGAACCUGGUGAUUGCAGGAGUAUCCCAGUUGGCUGAUGUGGCUUCCGUCGAGGAUGGCUUCUCGUCCCCGGGCUGCUGGGAGCUGGCUGGAAGGAGCAGGGAGCGCUGCCCCACGGCGCGUGAUACAGACGUCAGCUCGGGAGUGAUUUUUCCAAACUGGAAGCGCUUUGCCUUCCAAGAGGUUGUGUUUUAGGAGCUUCCCAGCAGAGCGAGUAUUAAGAAGAGGGUGUGCUUAGCAGUCGAAGCCACCAGCAACAAGACUUUCCACUCUCCUGAAAAAAAAAAGGGAAAAAGGUGAUGAGGAGCCUGCUGACUGUGGGACUUUUGGAGUUGAUGAACUGUGGAGCUUUCUUUAAACAAGGAUGGCCUGAGACCUGUGGCCCCUGAAAGCUAAAUGCAGGGAGAGGAGCCACGCAGCAGAGGGUGAUGGAGGAGAGGAGCAGAGCGCGGUGAGGAGCUGGGUCGGUGCAAAGCACCGAGGGAAGCGGGAGAUCUGCACUGAAGGUGACUCGAGCAAGGCAGCACACAGGGCUGGACGUGGCACCCUGUGACCAUCAGAGGCCGGACAGGUGAGCCACGAAGUUUUGCAGCCUUGGAGCAGUGGAGCAGCAUGCCAACGGGCCAUCUGUGGAGAUGACACAGGCAUCAGCCAGAUGCCGCAAGCAAGGAUGGCCUCAGCAUCCGAUUCUGGAACCAGCAGAUCACUAUGAGGAGCCUGGUGAUGGCAGGAACAUCCAGGCAAGGAUGGCUUGUUGAGGAGAAAGGCUGCAGAGCCCCGGCCAUCUGAAAGCUAAGUGGAGGGUCUGGGAGGAGGGGACAAGGUUGGGGGUUGGAGGCGGGGGGUUUCAAAGUUGGUGUAGGGGAGAGGACUGGCAGGGCACAGUCCCCUUGGGGCAGGCAAAGGGAGCGGGUUACUCUUCAGCACAAUGUCAGCAUGGGCAGGGCAGCUCCAACCUGUGUCUGGCGUGUACUUCGUGUCGUCUGUUUUCUGUGUCUUAGACUGUAUGUUCGUUGGCUCUUGGUGCCUCCAUAGCUCGGUGACCAGCAGGCACCUCGGUAGCCCUCCCAGGAGUUCAGAAUGCAUCACUUCACUGGCACAGAGCCUGUUGAGCCUUUCUCAUCUCACAAUUACAGCUUGAUGCGUGCAUCUCUUUGGCGUGUGCCACAUCCUGGCUGUUUCUGAGCGUUCAUCUCUUGCGGUGGCCAGCCAGGUGCUGCCCGCAGCUGUGCUCGUGAGUCUGCUGUUUCCACAGAGUCAUUUUCUGGGGUUUCAUCCUCAUGUCCUCACUGGUCUUGGGUCUUCAAGCAUGGCUUCUCACACAUCCCUCAUUUUGGUUUUGAUGGCAGCUUUCUCUUGUGUGUGGCGGCAAUCUCCUCUCCUUGGCAGGUCUGCUUUAGAGCAUCCGUGCCAUUGUGGCACUGCAAGGCUUCUCUGCCAGCAUCAUCUUCCUGAUGGGAAUCUUUCACUGAGCAAGGACAAGAGACUUAUAGAAAGUUACAAAGGUCUUCUGAAAAAAAAGAUCCUGAUCUUGUUGAAACAAGAAGAUGGGGAAGCACGUGCUUUGCUUAAAAUGUGGCAGAAUUGCCGAAGUUGCUGUAGCUGAGCGACCUCUGCUCGUGACAAAAUCAACAAUAUGGAAACCAGAUCUUCAGCAUUUAGGCUGCCCACCUCCAACUGAAGACCUACCCACUGUGUAUGCUGUACCUUGAAAUCAGAGUGAGAAAUUCACUAACCAAUCAGAGUAGAGUAACUGUGAAUAUGUAUUAGGUGAAGGAAACUAACCACAAGUGCAUAAAUGUACAUAGCCUUGCUAUUUCAGGGGGCAGCUUUGUGUCUAACCACCUCUCGCCCUGUGUUUGCCUAAAUUAAUGAAAUAAAUGAAAAUACCUUGGCUCUGUAUGCAUUUUGGCAUCUUGCACACCAGGUGAAUGACCCCACUUUUGGUAUAACGAGGUAUAACACUCGCGGCAUCCGUGUGUAGUCCUGGUCUGUGUGUGAGGGUUGGAGCUGCCCUGCCCAGGGAUGCAGCAGUACUGAUGACAGGGUAGCGUAGUUUUAUGGAGGGGUGGAAGUAAGUUGGUUUGGACCAAUUCUGUUGGCAGAGACCAUACGGUCCAUCUCUGGGCCAACAGGUGUAGGCAGCUGCCACAGUUGUGUUCGCUUUUCUUUAUGGUCAGGGGCUAGGAUUGGAUCCAGCCACACCUAGGCUCCUCUGAGAGGAGUUGAGAAAGCAAGGGGGUCCAGUCUGAACCUCGUGACUGGUUGGGAGCAGCAGUUAGUGUGGAAGGGGAGCGGGUCAGAUCUGGAAGGUGCCUUAGCUUGCACAGAUGGGGCUCCCUAGCUGGCUUUUCUUCUUCUAGCUGUAGUGAGAAGGUAUAUGCAAAAGGCAGAGAGACCUCUGGCCUCACCAAGCUACCUGUGGCUGUGCAGGUGACUUGCUUUACAGGGUGUGUUUGUGUUGUUUCAGGUGCAGAGCAACGAGCAGCAAGGCCAAGGGCACGGAAGAGGGGAGCAGAGUGCCGGCUGAAGAAGGACAGUCAUGCAGCUCCGGAGUAUCGGCAGGACAGCUGGUGGUUCUGACAAGCUUGAGCUUCUCUGGCCGGAUUUUCUGGGUGCAAAUCCAAGUGUGAAGUGAGAUGUUAUCAGCAGAGCGGCCUCUGGCAAGGUGGUACACAAGCUCUCCUUGUCCCCUGGGGUCCCCACCUGGAUGGUUCAGAAUGGCCUGGUGCUGUGCAUUGCAUUUCCAGAGACAAACAGCAGCUUGGCAGUCUGUGGUCAGGACUCCAGAGAGAUUUGAGAAGGCCCCAGAGCACCUUCUGCAUCCUCUCACAGUCAGCAUGUGAGUGAAGUGAUGCAGGAUUCCCACCUCUGUGCUGGCCCCACGUGCCAUUCUUUUCCCCCGUGGUUCCAGACUGUCAGCAUAGGAGAGACUUGCUUCCCCUCCAGGUCCAAGUGCUUCCCAGUGCUUGAGGGACCUGCAACAGAACCUGAGCUUUCUUAUUGCAUUGAUUGAAGAGCUGCGUAACACUUAGAGCCUGGUGUAGGUUGGCUUCUUCCUUGGCUUCUUCCUGCUAAGAAGCCAUUUCUUCACAAAAUGCUUUUCUUUGUCUUAAGAUGGAGACAUACAAGUAGUGGUGACCAGAUCUGUGCUGGAAAAUGGACUUGAUGGAAAGUACCAAACUUCUCUUUUGUUGCAAUCCGUAAUGAUUUUUUUGGCCUCAAAUGUUUUUUUAUGCUGCUUCUCAAACACACUUUCCCAGCCUUUUCUUAAAUGUAAGCAGACAUUGAUAGAAAAACCAGCACUCAGAAUAUUGAUGGAAAAAUAAUUCUGAACAAUUUCAGAACUUCACAGACUUUUUAUAAGACUUACUUAUUUGAAAAAGUGACACACUUGUUGCUAAUCAAUUAAUAACACAUUAUUUUUCACUUCAUAAUGGAGUCACAAGCUGCUGUUGUCAGACCCUGAUCUCUGGGAGGCUCUUUGUAGAAAAUCAUGCAUAGGAAUAGGAUCAUCCUCUAGGAAAGCUGGAAACACUGUGGUUCAUAAGUUGGAUUUUUUUGUGGAGUAAAACCUGGCCGUGUUGGGCAAGCCUCCUGGAAAUACCCCUGAUUUCCUAGGAACUUGCUGGAGAAAUCCCAAGGCAGACUGACCAUGACACCUGAAGCAGAUACCAGCCACCGGUGUGUUCAGAUGCUGAACAAUUAUUUCUCAUACUCCCUUUCAACUGUUGGAAACCUGCCAGAGUUAAAUCCCAUCUUUAAUUUCUGGAGCUUUGCUGUUUUCCUUAUUUUUCUGCCUAAGGUGCAUGAUCUGAGGUGUUAGUGUUUGAACUUGGACUGGAAGAUGCAGUUAAAAUACUCAUCUUUAUGCAGAAAGCAACCAGGGAAGACAUUCCCAAGUGUAAGUGUGGUAAUUAAUAAGAUUGUAAUUAUGAGAAAAUUACAGUUUGUUCUGGAAGUCACUAGCAAGUUACAACCAAAGAAAGAAGUGGAUGUCAGGAUAAGGGACCCUAUGACCAUAUGGCAUUGGAAGACAUGGAUUAGGAUUUCUCUCUAUGGUUUGACUGUGACCAAACCAGUAUGGAAAAGACAGCUGGGGAGGUUCUGCUCCUCUACUUCAGAAGAGGAAAAUACAUAAUAAAAUGUGAAACUCUGAAGUAGCUCAGUGAGUUUCAGUGUUCUGCUUAUUAUAGGGACAAGUUAAAUUCCCCAUAUACAUUCUGUGCCUUAAAUGCAACAAAUGAACAAAACUGAUCUCAGCUGGUGCUUUUCUUUACCAAGUGAGGUUCUAUGGUCUCUUUGAGCAGUCUAUCAGCUGAACUGCUGGGAUUUUCCAUUUAUUCUUUUCUCUUAAAAUUGAUUUUACAUGACUAAGAGUGAGUUAUGUGGAAAAUCAACUCCGGGAAGCUUAUCUCAGUGAAACCCAAGAAAAGCAAAGGUCUGCUGUUGUGUGUUCACAUCUCCUUCACACUUUCCCUGCUCCUGCAUUUUCUCUAAGAUCUUUUCUCCUCCUCCUUUGAGGAAGAUGCCAGAGUGACAGUAACAAAAGCUGGAACUUUUGGUAAAAAUACAUUCAAUAUUUCUGCAUGUCAUGGACUUCUAGGCAGUGUUAGGUGCUUGCUACAGCUACAGCCAUCUCCAGGUUUUCUCUUAACUUUCUGCAAGGGAGCUGUGCACAGUGGUAAAUAGCAUGAUGCCAAUCAGACUCACCAUAAACUCCUGUGAGAUGUGCAGUUGUUGUACAGAGCAUCUUUGAAAGGGGAGCAAAAGCAAAGCUCAAGGGAUGACAUGAUACCUCUCUAAUGGUUUCCUGACUGAUUUGCAUGUAUGCAGAUUUAUGCAUUCUGUUUGUAUGUACUUGUUUCCCAAAGCUCUGUAUGAUUCAUUUAUUUCAUCCUGGUUUUGUAGUAGCUUGAAAUUUAUCCAUGCACUGUUCAAUAUCUGGUCCUAUUGCCCUCAAAAGUGUUGAGGUUCCUCAAUCACAUUCAGCUGUUCCCCCUAAAUGACUUCUUCAGGAUCAGGUUGAAAGCACCUGAAGAACAGAAAGAGUCUUUUCUUAUGCUGUAAUGACAGGUGCAUUUUCACUUUGUCAGUUAAAAGGUAACUGAGUCCACAGAUGAGGCUCUGCAGGAAUGGUUCAAGAUGCAGCUUCUCCCAGCUCAGAUGCAUUACACAGACUUGCAGACUGCUGCUGAGGCUCAUCUGGACAGGUGGUGCUGUACUGUCUGAAAGACUGUGCCAGUGAAACAGCUGGUCGUUACUUGGCAGAUCUUUCUUCUUCACGGUGACAUCCUCAGAGUGAUCUGAUGAGGCAAAGCUAAAUUGUGUCUGUUGCCUGUUAAAAACAUGUCCCGGGAAGGAAAACUGCAGCAGGUAUCUCUGAGAGAAAUCUCAACAUAGAAUCACAAGUAGGUGAUAAGGGCAGCAAGAGCCGUGGCUCUCUUUUUGAGGACAGCCCAACAAUGCUCUCAGAAAUUACAGAUGUAGGAGCCUCUGGCAACUGGUUUAAAUGACGAAGAGGAUAUAUCAAGAAAUCUUCAACUGUUCUUUCUUAGAAGGACUAACAUCUCUCCAAGUAUCUCCAAGAUCUGAGCAAGGAGUAAUGCAGGCAGCGAAACAGAAGGUUUACCAGUCGGGAACCUAUUGA